GACGAGCGCUGGCGGCGUGCCUAACACAUGCAAGUCGAGCGAGUGAAUCUCCUUCGGGAGUGAAACUAGCGGCGGACGGGUGAGUAACACGUGGGCAACCUGCCUCAUAGAGGGGAAUAGCCUUUCGAAAGGAAGAUUAAUACCGCAUAAGAUUGUAGCCUCGCAUGAAGUAGCAAUUAAAGGAGUAAUCCGCUAUGAGAUGGGCCCGCGGCGCAUUAGCUAGUUGGUGAGGUAACGGCUCACCAAGGCGACGAUGCGUAGCCGACCUGAGAGGUUGAUCGGCCACAUUGGGACUGAGACACGGACCAGACUCCUACGGGAGGCAGCAGUGGGGAAUAUUGCACAAUGGGGGAAACCCUGAUGCAGCAACGCCGCGUGAGUGAUGACGGCCUUCGGGUUGUAAAGCUCUGUCUUCAGGGAUGAUAAUGACGGUACCUGAGGAGGAAGCCACGGCUAACUACGUGCCAGCCGCCGCGGUAA
rnacentral:rRNA from 1 species